ensembl:miRNA
CUGAUGGCUGCACUCAACAUUCAUUGCUGUCGGUGGGUUUGACUUUGAAUCAACUCACUGAUCAAUGAAUGUAAACUGCGGACCAAACA